UACGUAGAGACCGAGCGUUGUUCGGAUUUACUGGGCGUAAAGGGCGCGUAGGCGGCUUAACAAGUCACUUGUGAAAUCUCCGGGCUUAACUCGGAACGGCCAAGUGAAACUGUCAAGCUAGAGUGCAGAAGGGGCAAUCGGAAUUCUUGGUGUAGCGGUGAAAUGCGUAGAUAUCAAGAGGAACACCCUGAGGUGAAGACGGGUUGCUGGGCUGACACUGACGCUGAGGCGCGAAAGCCAGGGGAGCAAACGGG
rnacentral:rRNA from 1 species